rnacentral:rRNA from 1 species
GAUGAACGCUGGCGGCGUGCCUAAUACAUGCAAGUCGAGCGAACAGACGAGGAGCUUGCUCCUCUGACGUUAGCGGCGGACGGGUGAGUAACACGUGGAUAACCUACCUAUAUGACUGGGAUAACUUCGGGAAACCGGAGCUAAUACCGGAUAAUAUAUUGAACCGCAUGGUUCAAUAGUGAAAGACGGUUUUGCUGUCACUUAUAGAUUGUUCCGCGCCGCAUUAGCUAGUUGGUAAGGUAACGGCUUACCAAGGCAACGAUGCGUAGCCGACCUGAGAGGGUGAUCGGCCACACUGGAACUGAGACACGGUCAAGACUCCUACGGGAGGCAGCAGUAGGGAAUAUUCCGCAAUGGGCGAAAGCAUGACGGAGCAACGCCGCGUGAGUGAUGAAGGUCUUCGGAUCGUAAAACUCUGUUAUUAGGGAAGAACAAAUGUGUAAGUAACUAUGCACGUCUUGACGGUACCUAAUCAGAAAGCCACGGCUAACUACGUG